UACGGAGGGUGCAAGCGUUGUCCGGAAUCACUGGGCGUAAAGGGCGCGUAGGCGGCGCGGUAAGUCCAUUGUGAAAUCCCGGGGCUCAACUCCGGGGCUGCAGUGGAGACUGUCGUGCUCGAGCGCAGUAGGGGCGAGCGGAAUUCCCGGUGUAGCGGUGGAAUGCGUAGAUAUCGGGAAGAACACCAGUAGCGAAGGCGGCUCGCUGGGCUGUUGCUGACGCUGAGGCGCGAAAGCGUGGGGAGCAAACAGG
rnacentral:misc_RNA from 1 species